rnacentral:misc_RNA from 1 species
UCUCCGUUGGUGAACCAGCGGAGGGAUCAUUGCUGGAACGCGCCCUAGGCGCACCCAGAAACCCUUUGUGAACUUAUACCUUUUGUUGCCUCGGCGCAUGCUGGCUUCUAGUAGGCCCCUCACCCCGGUGAGGAGACGGCACGCCGGCGGCCAAGUUAACUCUGUUUUUACACUGAAACUCUGAGGAAAAACACAAAUGAAUCAAAACUUUCAACAACGGAUCUCUUGGUUCUGGCAUCGAUGAAGAACGCAGC